UACGAAGGGUGCAAACGUUGCUCGGAAUUAUUGGGCGUAAAGCGCACGUAGGCGGCUUUGCAAGUCCCAUGUGAAAUCCCACGACUCAACCGUGGAAGUGCAUGGGAAACUGCAGAGCUUGAGUACUUAAGAGGAUCGCGGAAUUCCCGGUGUAGAGGUGAAAUUCGUAGAUAUCGGGAGGAACACCAGUGGCGAAGGCGGCGAUCUGGGAAGAUACUGACGCUGAGGUGCGAAAGCGUGGGGAGCAAACAGG
rnacentral:rRNA from 1 species